CAAUAAUAGAAAAUGCAUGCAUGCUCAAAUCUCAAAGAAGCUUCGGCUCUUACCCAAUCUUACCGGUUAACUUUGUUAACCCCAAUAACUCACCACUCAAAAUCCCUUAAUAGCGGGGGACUCGAACCUCCCUAGGGACCGUCAUCUGGGGGGACUUUACCACGCCCAGUGGUGACCAACUCCGGAGCGCACCGCUCGAGGGGGAGCGACCUCCCUCAAGCCAAGACAAAAUGUGAGUAUCAAUCUAAUCCUCAACUUGAGGACUCAUAGCCACUAGUCACAAUGCCUAUGUCACGAUAGAUCUCUACCUAUUCAUUCUUGCCACUCUCAAGGCUUUACCUUUGACGAUGUCAAAAUGGGUUAAACUAUAUUUAACGGUUCAUCUCUCAAUGCAAAUCUUGUUUCUAUGCCAAUGUCACUCUUGUUUUCUAUUGUCCAAGUCCAAUCUCACAUUCACACAACUUGAGGGUCCAAUCACACAUGUCCAUUUUGGUUCUAUCAUCCUCUAUGUUCAACUACGUUAGAAGCAUAUAAAUGAAUUCAAACCAAGUUCCACAUGUAACUACCCUACUAUGCAUGAAUGGGUAUAUAUAUAAACAUAUAUGCUCAAAAAUAGAGAAAACAGACAUAGAAGGAAAUCCAACGAUUCCGGCGUGCACCCCCCACCUCUAUUAGUUGUGUGGGUGUAGAUUACGAAGGCUCUCGUACUUUACGAAAGCCGAUUCUGCGCCCUUUAAUGAAAAUAGUGCCAUAUUAGGCCCCUUUGUACAUGAGUUAUACUCUAACAUUUUCGCAGCGUUAAACGGAGUUGUCCAACGUGUUUAGGACACCCCCAAUUAGGUUUCCACGGAGUCAAUUUGUCCCCGAACAAUCCUAGGGCAAAAGCCCCAAAUUCAAGCCCUAAUAUUAUCAUUUAGGGUUUUUUCCCAUGAAUCGAUCCCAACCUUAAGCAAACAAUCGCUUAGGAUCAACUAAGAAGCACUCUAGUAAGGUUUCUAGACCUUUGGUACCAACCCUAGGGCUCCAAACACCACUUCCAAGGAUUCACCAUGAGAGCACUUUGAGCUUUCAUGGGAACCAUGGUGUACAUGGCUCAAAAGAGCCUUUAAUGCCUCUAGGGAGCACAAAGCUCCCAUUUUCAAAGCCAAAAUUCAAACCCUAGGCUCAUUUCUACCAAAAACUCACCUUAGCCCAAGCCCCUCCAAGUCCCUAUUGUAGGAGAGCUUGUAGAACCCACCAAAGCCUCCAAAUCCACCUUUCCUUGCUUCUUCUUCUUCUUCCCCAAGCCCUAGAGCAAGAGUUCUAGAGAGAAAAAGAGAGGAAAUGGGAGAGAAGGGUGAAAAUGGCUGUGGGAGAGAGGGGAUGAGUCAUAUAUAGUGUUGUAACAAUUGCACUUAAGCCUCUCCACUUGUUUCCUCUUGAACUGCCCAGACUGGGCAUUUUUCGCCUUCGGGGACCGGUCUCCCCGACCAGGGACCGGUUCCCGAACGUGGGUGUUCCAGGACUUAGCCAAAUUUUCGAGUUUUUCAGCUGUUGCGCAGCGAGGGACCGGUCUGCCCGUCAGGGACCGGUCUCCCGAGGACCGGUCUCUCGAGGACCGGUCUCACCACCAGGGACCGGAUGCCUCGGAAUUUCCUGGCAGGCUACGCGCACGGGGACCGGUCUCUCCUUCAAGGACCGGGACCCGAGAGCUCAAAAUCUGGGACUUGGCCAGAUUUUCAGAUUUGCUCUCCGCGUCCCUUUUUGUUCCGUUUAUGAACUCUAAUGCACUUAGAGCCCAUUCUAACUCGUUCAAUUCCGCGUUCCGCUCGUUUUGACGGAACUCGGCACGAUUUACGAGGGAUGUGGUAUGUUACAUUCUCCACCCCUAAAAUUCAGUUUCGUCCGCGAAACUACUAAGAUUGGAACUUAAAUUUCAUACCUCACUUCGGAUCCUCGAACAGGUGAGGAUAACGCUCCCUCAUUUCUCUUUCGAGCUCCCACGUUUCUUCCCGAUCAUCAUGUUCGCACCAAUGAAUCUUGACAUAUGGGAUUUCGCGGUUCCGAAGCUUUCGCACCUCCCGGUCGACAAUAUACGCCGGGAACUCCUCAUAAGUCAUAUCCUCUUGAAGUUCUAUCGGUAUAUACGAGAGGAUAUGAUCCGGGUCGUACACAUACUUGCGGAGUUGAGAUACAUGGAAUACAUCAUGUACUCCCGCAAGCCUCGGUGGUAGUGCCAACUUGUAGGCCACCGCUCCAACUCGUUCCAGAAUCUCGAAGGGUCUGAUAUAGCGGGGGGCUCAAUUUCCCGCGAACACCGAAUCGCUUAACUCCUCGUAUCGGCGAUGCUUUUAGAAAUACGCGGUCUCCUACCGCGAACUCAAUAUCUUUUCGCCGCUUGUCGGCAUAACUUUUGUGCCUUGAUUGCGCCGUCACUAAUCUUUGUCGGGCAAGGCGGACUUUCUCUUUCGCCUCCCGCACUACAUCCGGGCCAAGAACCAGCUUCUCACCCACAUCGCUCCAGUGUGUCGGCGAGCGACACUUCCUUCCAUAUAGAGUCUCGAAUGGCGCCAUCGCAAUGCUUUCUUGAUAGCUAUUAUUGUAUGCGAAUUCCGCCAUCGGUAAGUGAUCGUGCCAUCCACCCUUGUAAUCAAGCACACACGCUCGAAGCAUGUCCUCAAGUAUUUGGAUUGUCCUUUCCGAUUGACGGUCACUUUGAGGAUGAAAUGCCGUACUAAAAUCGAGCCGCGUACCUAACGCCUCUUGUAAGCUCUUCCAAAAAUGAGAUGUGAACCUAGGGUCCCGAUCCGAUACGAUUGAUACCGGAACCCCAUGAAGUCUCACCACCUCGUCGAUAUAGAUUUGGGCUAACUUGUCUCCCGACCAAGUAGUGCGGAUCGGCAAAAAGUGCGCCGAUUUUGUCAACCGGUCCACAACUACCCAUAUCGUGUCGUGUCCACCUUGCAACCUAGGCAGACUUGUCACAAAGUCCAUUGCAACAUUUUUCCAUUUCCACACGGGUAUUGGUAGACUCUGCAACUUGCCCGCUGGAAAUCGACGCUCUGCCUUCACUUGUUGGCACGUGAGACAUUGCGCCACGAACUCCCCUAUAUCUCUCUUUAUGCCCGGCCACCAAUAAUGCAAUUUCAAGUCUUGAUGCAUCUUAGUGCCACCCGGGUGUAUGCUAUAGGGAGAUUGGUGCGCUUCUUGCAAAAUCGCUCUCCGAAGGUCGUUGUCCUUGGGCACGCACCAACGACCCCGACAUCGUAGUGCGCCGUCGGUUUCAAUGCCAUAAUCAUCGGCACUACCACUUUCAACUUUGCCCCGCACCUUUUGGAGAAACUCAUCCGACGCUUGUAAUUCUUUAAUUUUCUCCAACAAGGUUGGUUGCACAACUAAGGUGGCACGUGUUGCCGGCACUCCCGGCGCCACAAUUUCUAGUCCCAACCGUUGCAUCUCCUUUUGCAAUGCCGGUUGAGGCGUAAUCUCCGCCGCCAAAUUUUUCGCCGACUUUCUACUUAGAGUAUCGGCCACGACGUUCGCUUUCCCGGGCUGGUAGAGAAUCGUGACGUCAUAAUCUUUAAGCAACUCUAACCACCGCCGCUGUCGCAAGUUCAGCUCCUUCUGGGUGAACAAAUAUUUGAGACUCUUAUGAUCAGUGUAAAUCUCACAAUGUUCCCCAUACAAGUAAUGCCUCCACAGUUUUAGCGCGAAUAUAACCGCCGCUAGCUCAAGGUCGUGAGUCGGGUAGUUCUUUUCAUAACUUUUCAGUUGGCGCGAAGCAUAAGCUAUGACUCGGCCGUUUUGCAUCAAGACACACCCGAGUCCCACGUAUGAGGCAUCACUGUACAAGACAUAGCUCUCUCCCGGCGUCGGCAAGGCAAGCACCGGAGUAGACGUUAAUCUAGUCUUUAGCUCUUCAAAGCUCCGCUCACACUCGGGGCUCCAAACAUACUUUACCCCUUUGUGCGGAAGGCGCGUUAGUGGAGUCGUUAUCCUGGCGAACCCUUCCACGAACCGUCGAUAAUAACCCGCAAGUCCAAGGAAGCUACGAAUUUCCGCUACACUCGUCGGGCGAGGCCAAUCUUUAAUCGCCUCAACUUUCUUUGGGUCCACCGAGAUGCCAUCUUCGGACACAACGUGGCCCAAGAAAGUAACCUCCGAAAGCCAAAACUCGUAUUUCUUUAAUUUUGUGUAAAGUUUUUCCCUCCGGAGUAUCUCCAACACGAGUCUUAAAUGCUCUUCGUGUUCUUCUUCGGUCCGAGAAUAUACCAAUACGUCGUCAAUGACUACCACGACGCACCGGUCCAAUAGCGGACGGAAGACUCUAUUCAUCAAGUCCAUGAAUGCUGCUGGGGCAUUAGUAAGCCCAAACGGCAUUACCGUGAACUCAUAAUGGCCAUACCGCGUACGGUACGCCGUUUUGUGCACGUCUUUGGGCCGUAUCUUCAACUGAUGAUACCCCGACUGCAGGUUAAUCUUCGAGUAUACCCUUGACCCUUGCAACUGAUCGAACAGGUCAUCUAUCCUUGGCAACGGGUAUUUGUUCUUGAUCGUCACUUUGUCCAACUCGCGAUAAUCAACGCAGAGUUGAAGUGUGCCGUCCUUUUUCUUUACAAAUAGCACCGGAGCUCCCCAUGGGGACACGCUCGGCUGUACGAAGCCCUUAUCGAGCAAGUCUUGUAGCUGGGCUUUCAAUUCCUUAAACUCCACCGGUGCCAUUCUGUACGGAGCCUUCGAAAUUGGCACCGCCCCGGGAAUCAAGUCAAGCACAAACUCGACAUCCCGAUCCGGGGGCAAUCCCGGUAACUCCGCGGGGAAUACAUCCGGAUACUCCCGCACAACUCGAAUACUCUCCAAUUCCGGGUACUAUUGUCGAGAGUCUACGAUGGUCGCCAAGUAGGCCUUACAGCCGCCUUUGAUCAUCCUUUUCGCCCAACCGUCGAUAUAGUGGCUGCAAAGCGUUUGCCGUUACACGCCCGGUAGACAAACUCCUCUUGGUUCGGUUCACGAAACGUGAUCACCCUUCUUUUGCAAUCUAUAACCGCGUAGUACUUGGAUAGUCAAUUGAUCCCCAAGAUUACCUCGAAUCCCCACAUUUCUUUCAACACUAGGAGGUCGAUCGGCAUAAUCCAUUCACCUAUUUGCACUGGGCAGUCCAAGCACUCAUCAUAGAUGUCGAUCGAGUGCUCGGGAGUGUUCACCGACCAAUACUCCUCAUUAUGAGUGAUCUCUAUGUUAUGAGCUUGUGCAAAUGAUGCUAAUAUGAAUGAAUGAGAUGCACCCGUAUCAAAUAUGGCUAUAGCCCUAGUGCCUCUGAUUAGAAUAAUACCUGCCACGACGUCGUCGGGAACGAUGAUUGGUGGCUCCUCCACCUGAGUGGCAAAAACCCGCUCACUAGGUGCUCGAGAAGCCUCCGGCUGACGAGGCGCCGACGAUCGUCCAGCAGAUACGGCGGGUGGCAGUCCCGCCAGCUGUCGCUGUGUGUACUGAGCUGAAGCUGAUGACGGGGCUGGAGAUGCGCCGCCCGGGCACUCUCGGCUCAUGUGUCCCGGUUGGCCGCAUCGGUAACACCGCCCCUCCCGCUGCGGGCAAUUGGUGGCUCUAUGCUCUCCGCCGCAUAUCACGCACGGGUAGGUAAUCUGGCCCUGUGUCUGACUCCUACCUCCCCGCCACUGCGAUCGCUGAAGUCGCGGGGGUCGCUUAGAACUCGACUAACCCGCCGAUCCACCAGCAGGUCGCUUCUUAGUCUUCUCCCUUUCCUUAUCUUUCUCAAAUGCCUCGCGUUCGUCAUUUCCGCGCUCUACCCAAAGCGCGCAGUCAAGAACCUCCUCAUAGGUCUUCAAGCGGAAUGCAUGAAUGACCUUGAAAAUCUCGGGUCGCAACCCGCGCUCAAAUACCUCCGCUCGGUCCCUAUCGCCAUGAACCAAGUCCGGCACGCAGUUAAUCAUGUGCGUGAGGUCCCUUUCGUACUCCCGCACCGUUCGACUUCCUUGCCUUAGUUUUCGAAAAUCCUCCUUGAUUUUCCUUUUGUCACUCUCGGGAAAAUACUCCAUAAGGAGCAUCUCCCGAAAUGCCUCCCAAGUGAGAAGAGUGUGCCAUAGCGAGCGAUUCUUCUUCGUUUGAUUCCACCACAACCGAGCCGACCCAUCCAAACAGUGAGCCGCCAGGUGAACCUUAUCCUUCUCGAGGGUAUAGAUACCCUCGAACAACGCCUCCAUCUCAGCCAACCAAUUCUCCGUCACCCACGGAUCCUUCACAUCGCCGUUGAAGGUCGGAGGGUUGAACCGCUUAAAUGCCGUCAGCGCCGCCAACGUACGCUCCUGCUCGGCCUCAAGCACAUCAGAAAUAGGAACCGAUGAUCCCGAUGCCGCCGGAGGAACAGCCGUCACAGGCGCUGCGGCCACCGCAGGAGGUGGUGCUACAGGGGCAGCUGGUGGGGGUAGAUCCCUCGGUACUGAUGUCGCCGCCUGUUGCGCCAAUAUCUCGUGGAGCUAUCCAAUCUGCUCCCCUUGUUAUCGCAUAGCCCCGGCCAAAGCCGCUACCUGGGCUCGCAACUCGCGUACUUCGUCCGACCCCGACUGCCCGGGCUCUUCCCGAGACUCCGCCGGUGUGGACCUCGUAACUCUCCUUGGUGGUGCCAUCGCGUCCUGCAACGCAACGCACACACAUUAGCGCUCGUCACACGUGACUCUUACACGUUCCAAGUAGCUACCCAAUUAAGCGAAAGCACAAGCCUAAUUAUUUCCACUUUCGGUGUUAUGUGGUCGGCCGCCCCACAAGGUCCUUUAAGUAGGCAACAAUUAAGCCUCCUAAUCCAUCUCUACUUCCUUCUAGAGAAGCGUUACCCCUGACCCAAUUAUUCGCUUCGCAUAAACCAAGUCCACGUUAAACGUUUCCUAAACACCUAAGGUCUCCAAUUUCCUAGGGUUCCUAGGUCAUCCCUAGACUUUUGCUUUCCGCUUUUGUCUCUGAUACCAUUAUAUCUGUCACGCCCCAAUCCCCGCCAAUUUGGUCGGGUUCGGGUCACGUCAACAGACGCCGAACGGACAGAGCCUCCCCUGUCCGCCCAAGGCUCUAACAACAUGUAUAAAUAGGCAAUCAACAAGAGAUUUGCAUAUAUAAUACAAGGCUUGCACGAGGGCAAGCAACAACGAAAGCAAAAGCUCUAAGCAAAUUAAGCAAUAUACAUGAUAUUUGAUUAGCAUUUAAACCAAAUCCAAGUAAAUCUAUUAUAUUCUUGCAUCAUAUCUUUUUUACAUUUAGUCAUCCACCAGAUACAUGAUUGUUUACACUUUACAUUCCUAAAUCAACAGAAUAAAGUUGAUACAUAAACUCGAUGCAAUAAUAGAAAAUGCAUGCAUGCUCAAAUCUCAAAGAAGCUUCGGCUCUUACCCAAUCUUACCGGUUAACUUUGUUAACCCUAAUAACUCACCACUCAAAAUCCCUUAAUAGCGGGGGACUCGAACCUCCCUAGGGACCGUCAUCUGGGGGGACUUUACCACGCCCAGUGGUGACCAACUCCGGAGCGCACCGCUCGAGGGGGAGCGACCUCCCUCAAGCCAAGACAAAAUGUGAGUAUCGAUCUAAUCCUCAACUUGAGGACUCAUAGCCACUAGUCACAAUGCCUAUGUCACGAUAGAUCUCUAC
rnacentral:lncRNA from 1 species